rnacentral:rRNA from 1 species
GACGAACGCUGGCGGCGUGCUUAACACAUGCAAGUCGAACGGAAAGGCCCUGCUUUUGUGGGGUGCUCGAGUGGCGAACGGGUGAGUAACACGUGAGUAACCUGCCCUUGACUUUGGGAUAACUUCAGGAAACUGGGGCGAAUACCGGAUAGGAGCUCCUGCUGCAUGGGGGGGGUUGGAAAGUUUCGGCGGUUGGGGAUGGACUCGCGGCUUAUCAGCUUGUUGGUGGGGUAGUGGCUUACCAAGGCUUUGACGGGUAGCCGGCCUGAGAGGGUGACCGGCCACAUUGGGACUGAGAUACGGCCCAGACUCCUACGGGAGGCAGCAGUGGGGAAUAGUGCACACUGGGCGGCAGCCUGAUGCAGCAACGCCGCGUGCGGGAUGACGGCCUUCGGGUUGUAACCCGCUUUCGCCUGUGACGAAGCGUGAGUGACGGUAAUGGGUAAAGAAGCACCGGCUAACUACGUG